GUAGUCUCGCACAGACGCAUAUCAAUAAGCGGAGGAAAAGAAACUAACAAGGAUUCCCUUAGUAACGGCGAGUGAAGCGGGAAGAGCUCAAAUUUGAAAUCUUCAAGGUUUUACCUUGACGAAUUGUAGUUUAAAGAAGUGUUUUCUGUUGAAGUUUUGGUAAAAGUUCUUUGAAUAGGACAUCAUAGAGGGUGAGAAUCCCGUAUUUGACCAUUAUUUUCAGCUGUGUGAUACACUUUCAAAGAGUCGGAUUGUUUGGGAAUGCAGUCCAAAAUGGGUGGUAAAUUUCAUCUAAAGCUAAAUAUUGGCGAGAGACCGAUAGCGAACAAGUACCGUGAGGGAAAGAUGAAAAGAACUUUGAAAAGAGAGUUAAACAGUACGUGAAAUUGUCAAAAGGGAAGCGUUUGACACCAGUGUUGUUUUCUCGAAAAUCAAUUAAAAAGAGUUAGAUUUUGUUGUGUAUUGACCUUAACAGCUUGCACUUUCAAUUUUCUUGCUUUUUUUAAUGCACUUUUCGUUUAACAAGUCAACAUCAGUUUCUUUUGUUGUAAAAAGGUCAUUGGAAGGUGGCUUUCUUUUCGGAGAAAGUGUUUAUAGCCUUUGACUCCUGCAAUCGGAGAGACUGAGGUCUGCAGCGUAGAUCCUUCGGGGUUAGAUAGCAUUUGUGCUAAGUUAUAGCUUUUUAUAGACAACUUGUUGACUAUGAUUAGUCUUGUAGCUUACUCGCUUAUGCUAUUUUACCUACGCUUAGGAUGUUGAGCGCAUGUCUCUCUCU
rnacentral:rRNA from 1 species